rnacentral:rRNA from 1 species
AGUGAACGCUGGCGGUAGGCCUAACACAUGCAAGUCGAACGGCAGCACAGUAAGAGCUUGCUCUUACGGGUGGCGAGUGGCGGACGGGUGAGGAAUACAUCGGAAUCUACUUUUUCGUGGGGGAUAACGUAGGGAAACUUACGCUAAUACCGCAUACGACCUACGGGUGAAAGCAGGGGAUCUUCGGACCUUGCGCGAUUGAAUGAGCCGAUGUCGGAUUAGCUAGUUGGCGGGGUAAAGGCCCACCAAGGCGACGAUCCGUAGCUGGUCUGAGAGGAUGGUCCGCCACACUGGAACUGAGACACGGUCCAGACUCCUACGGGAGGCAGCAGUGGGGAAUAUUGGACAAUGGGCGCAAGCCUGAUCCAGCCAUACCGCGUGGGUGAAGAAGGCCUGCGGGUUGUAAAGCCCUUUUGUUGGGAAAGAAAAGCAGCAGGUUAAUACCCCGCUGUUCUGACGGUACCCAAAGAAUAAGCACCGGCUAACUUCGU